AUGAAGCGGCUUUCUUCUUCUCCGUUCCCGCUCCCACGCGCCCUGGUAAUCAUCCUGGUGAUCGUGUGCUGCUGCUCCCUGCUGCCAUUCCCAUGCUCUGCCGUUUGCAAAGGGCAUGCAUUUGGCGACUUUGGUCAGAGCGCUGGGGCCGGGACAAGGGGGGGAGGAAGCCAAUUUGAUCAGGGGGCUAUGCCAGGGGGAGAAGAUAACGGGGCAGAAGGAAACGGGGGAGGAGGCAACCAAGUAGGACGGACGCCUCCAGCCCCGCGGGGCAAGACACCGAGGAACCACAGGUGA
rnacentral:rRNA from 1 species